GAACGGGUGAGUAACGCGUAGGUAACCUGCCUGGUAGCGGGGGAUAACUAUUGGAAACGAUAGCUAAUACCGCAUAAGAGUAGAUGUUGCAUGACAUUUGCUUAAAAGGUGCAAUUGCAUCACUACCAGAUGGACCUGCGUUGUAUUAGCUAGUUGGUGAGGUAACGGCUCACCAAGGCGACGAUACAUAGCCGACCUGAGAGGGUGAUCGGCCACACUGGGACUGAGACACGGCCCAGACUCCUACGGGAGGCAGCAGUAGGGAAUCUUCGGCAAUGGACGGAAGUCUGACCGAGCAACGCCGCGUGAGUGAAGAAGGUUUUCGGAUCGUAAAGCUCUGUUGUAAGAGAAGAACGAGUGUGAGAGUGGAAAGUUCACACUGUGACGGUAUCUUACCAGAAAGGGACGGCUAACUACGUGCCAGCAGCCGCGGUAAUACGUAGGUCCCGAGCGUUGUCCGGAU
rnacentral:rRNA from 1 species